rnacentral:rRNA from 1 species
CACGUAGUUAGCCGGGGCUCCUUAUUUAGGUACCGUCAUUUCUUUCUUCCCUAUUGAUAGAAGUUUACAAUCCGAAAACCGUCUUCCUUCACGCGGCGUUGCUGCAUCAGGGUUUCCCCCAUUGUGCAAUAUUCCCCACUGCUGCCUCCCGUAGGAGUUUGGGCCGUGUCUCAGUCCCAAUGUGGCCGGUCACCCUCUCAGGUCGGCUACUGAUCGUUGCCUUGGUGGGCUGUUAUCUCACCAACUAGCUAAUCAGAUGCGGGCCCAUCUUUUACCGAAUUACUCCUUUCUUUCUUAGAAGAUGCCUUCCAAGAACCGUAUGCGGUAUUAGUCGUCGUUUCCAACGAUUAUUCCACAGUAAAAGGCAGGUUACCCACACGUUACUCACCCGUCCGCCGCUAAAAUAAUCAAAAGCAAGCUCUCAAUUAUUUUCGCUCGACUUGCAUGUGUAAGCACGCCGCCAGCGUUCAUCCUGAGCAGGAUCAAACUCU